CCUACGGGAGGCAGUAGUGAGGAAUAUUGGUCAAUGGCCGGAAGGCUGAACCAGCCAUGCCGCGUGAAGGUCAGUGCCCUAUGGGCGUUAAACUUCUUUUGUGCGGGAGCAAUAAUGGUCACGUGUGGCCAGACGAGAGUACCGUACGAAUAAGCAUCGGCUAACUCCGUGCCAGCAGCCGCGGUAAUACGGGGGAUGCAAGCGUUAUCCGGAUUUAUUGGGUUUAAAGGGUGCGUAGGCUGUGAGGUAAGUCAGCGGUGAAAUGCCCCCGCUCAACGGGGUGAAGUGCCAUUGAUACUGCCUGGCUGGAAUGCGGAUGCCGUGGGAGGAAUGUGUGGUGUAGCGGUGAAAUGCAUAGAUAUCACACAGAACACCGAUUGCGAAGGCAUCUCACGAAUCCGCGAUUGACGCUGAUGCACGAAAGCGUGGGUAUCAAACAGGAUUAGAUACCCGGGUAGUC
rnacentral:rRNA from 1 species